GAUGAACGCUGGCGGCGUGCCUAAUACAUGCAAGUCGAGCGAACGGACGAGAAGCUUGCUUUUCUGAUGUUAGCGGCGGACGGGUGAGUAACACGUGGAUAACCUACCUAUAAGACUGGGAUAACUUCGGGAAACCGGAGCUAAUACCGGAUAAUAUUUUGAACCGCAUGGUUCAAAAGUGAAAGACGGUCUUGCUGUCACUUAUAGAUGGAUCCGCGCUGCAUUAGCUAGUUGGUAAGGUAACGGCUUACCAAGGCAACGAUGCAUAGCCGACCUGAGAGGGUGAUCGGCCGCACUGGAACUGGGACACGGUCCAGACUCCUACGGGAGGCAGCAGUAGGGAAUCUUCCGCAAUGGGCGAAAGCCUGACGGAGCAACGCCACGUGAGUGAUGAAGGUCUUCGGAUCGUAAAACUCUGUUAUUAGGGAAGAACAUAUGUGUAAGUAACUGUGCACAGCUUGACGGUACCUAAUCAGAAAGCCACGGCUAACUACGUG
rnacentral:rRNA from 1 species